CCGCGGCCAGCGGUCCUCUUCGCGUGCCCGCCGAGAGGGCGCUAUACUUGGCUUAUGCUCAUACAAUUCUGCAAUUCUCCAUAUUGUCCAGACUUCCAGCUUUCUCUGCCGUCUUUGUGUGCCCAGCAAUAGACCACUAUCCUCAGGUUGGGCUCGGGCAGCCACACGCUCCUCCGACGUCAGCAGGUUUGUCCGGCGGUCAUUCUCCAACUUCUUACCCGGCAACGAGCAUUCCUGCCCGCAGCCGGAAAACGACGAGAUGAAACUUGCUCACCGCCGGAGGCUGGCCGAUCGGUGAAGGCUGUCACCCUCGCCGACGUGUGUGACAUGAGUUGGGGUAGUUUGGUGCUAUUUUUCGUUUUCCAAAGGCAAAAAAGAUUGGAACUGCCGCUCAGCGGUCAUUCUCCAGCUGCUUCCCUGGCAACGAGCACUCCUGCCCGUAGCAGGGGAACGACGAGCUGUAACAUGCUCACCGCCAGAGGGUUGGCCGAUCGGUGAAGACAAUCAACCUCGCCGCCGUGUGAAAUUGUCCGGGGUAGUUUUGUGUGCUUUUUUUGUUUUCCAAUGGCGAGAAUAACACUUUGAAACACCGUUAGGUCCGGGUUAGCAUGUCGGCUAGCUGUCACGCCUCCUGUUUCGUUUACACUCUUUCCUCCGUCUCCGAAGCCAAGGCAGGGAAAUGACAAAAGCAGGACUAACUCCAGUGGCAUAAAAUGCCGUUGAGUUGUUGAAGUCAUAAUUUUGCCCUGUCGUACUGAAUAAAUGCAUUUUUAAUAUUUCAAAUUCCAUUUAGCACAAGACUAUUAUUUAUCAUGACCAUACCAUUUAUUUAGCAAUUGGGGAAAAAAUACUUCGAUAAAAAGAAUAUCCUGUAAAAAUACUGGAGUAGACAGAUUGAAACAAUGACAUUUUGUUGCUCUAUUUGUCGUAUUUUCCUCGCUCUGAAUCUUCCCCCUCAAUGGGCUGAAUUCUAAAUCAGAUGAAAUUGUGACCCUCCGGCGUCAUCCUGCAGCUAGGGAUGCUAGAGCGCUAUAAUGACAGACGGGGCUAAACGGCAGAUUAAAAGAGUAAUUUCUAGUUAUCUGUGCGUUGCCAAAUUGUUGUAUAUAGUCGAAUCGUCUCAAACUAUGAUUCUAAUUCACAUAAUAAUGCUGUCACAGGCACUUUAAUCAAUUUUAUUCACCACAGAAUUACAGUGUUACCUUGGUGUAGUGAAACUGCAUGGGGUCGUCUGUAGAUAGGGACACACAAAGGCCUUUGUGCAGGAACUCCCGCAAAGGGUUUUUCGAGUAUUCCAAGAACAGGCUGUUGUUGCUCAAGGGUGACAUUGCAAUGGGUACUUGAGCCAAGUAGUAUAAAUAUUGAAGCACAGGGCUCUACAAGUGGGGAAUAAAAGAAAUACUCUUGAUAUUUUACUGCUAGGUUGACUCCAUUUAUCUAAUUUAAGUCCCUACUGAUUAUUUAAGCCAGGAGGUCAGUGUGACGUACCUUCUUCAAAUUGAGCCCAUGUGAGAUGUUGUCUGCUGUCAGGAAGGCAGAUACCAGAUGAGUGAUGGAUCCUGCUUCUCCACAGUGUGGGCGAAACUGGAAGGUGCUGAGGCCACGUUCCCUACCGACCACAUGACGUGAACACUACAGGCUACAAAGUUAAGUUGACGAGAUGCCGAAAGAAUGAGCUCUCACUUUCUGAGGUUGUUGAGGACCAUGAUGUUUGCAUACAUAUGGAAGAGGUAGUAGCUGUAUGGAGGGUUAUCAUCUCCGGUCCACUGUUCAGGCUUUGGGCUCCGAAACGAAAACAUGUGAUCACUGUGCUUGGACUCGUCAUCUACGCUGUCAAAGCCCGACACCUGUGUACACAUUACUUUCUUGUCAAUAAUUAAUUAUUUUUAUUAAUUUCAAUGUCACGACGUUAUCCACCUUACAUAUUUGAGGAACACGUGAAGCUCUUUAUGAGUUUGAGGAUGAAUGGUUGCCUCAAAGAGGGGAAGGAAUAUAUUCUCAAGAAUCUUGGCAAAAUUAGGCACCAGCUGCUUUGACCUAAAAAUAUCACUUAAAAAUAUGGAGUUGAAGUUAAAUGUUGACGUACACAAUAUAAAAAGGCACACUUUUUUCUUUCUGGCUUGAGAAGAUUCUGAUAAUUUCAUUGACAUUUGAGCUAUAAAUAGAGGUUCGCCUUGUGUAGAACUGUUUUGAAAUUACACCCAAGGAUGACCCAGACUUCUGAGAAUUCACAGUUCACGAUUUCUUUUGACUUACUUAAGUUAGACGCUAGAUGUUAACUUAAAUGUCAGAAGCUUGCCAAGACAUGACAUCAUUAUCUGUUUUCCCAUUUUUUUCACAGGCAAAUUUUAGGUUUACUGAAUGUAAACUUUUAACCUUGUCUAAAUGAAAUGUAAAGAAUGCCAGGAAUUAAAGAAGGAUGACUCACUAUAUUCUGGGCACUUGAAUAACCCAUCUCAUGUUUGGAGAGUGUACUUUGUGCAGAAUAAACCACUUGGCCAGGCUGUGCCACUCAUCUGGAGAGCGUCCGUAGAUGGACAAGCGAGGCUCGGCAUGCUGAUAUUUACUUUCCUCCAAGUCGUGGGCUACUUCCUGGAAAAGAAUGGCAGUAUUCUGGCACUGAAGAACACAACGAGCUGGAGCUAGGAGACACGUAUGGCGUUGGAGGCCGCGGCCAUGCCCAAUCUGGAUUUCCGGAGAUCUGCAUGGACAUGGACUGGGAACGAAUCAUCUUCAAACUUUUGCGCCUGAGCGCUGUUCUGCCAACUCCUUCAUCAGCUCAUGCUCUUUGGCUUGCUGUAGGCCAAUGGGGCAGUCCUCAGGCACCGUGAACAUGGACAAAACAUCCUUCUGGUCUUCUUCUUUUAGGGCCGAAGCGUACACUUUUUCCACCAAAAGUUGACUCUCUUCAGCCUCACUUAAAGUGACCUUGGGAAAUUGGCGAGGCAUGUCUGCACUUUGGGGAAAAAAUGGAAUCAAGUAAGUGCGGACAGAAACUACUGCGUGUUCUUAUCGAAAGAGGAGGUUAGUCGGUCGAACUGUUUUGGAAACAAACAGGUCGUCACAGGGGAUGGUUUGUGUGUAGUGAGGACAUGGACUUAACAUGGAUGCAAUGCCAGAGUCAGACUUGCUGAAUGUUAUUUAAUUUACAUGUGCUAGGGUGCUUCCAGGAAGCAUAAUUGUCAUCCUGUUUCUGGACCAAAAGUGUGCACUGCAGUAGAGCAUUAGACAGAAAUGUGAUAUGCUUUAUUGAUUUGCAGAUGGAAACCUUUUAAAUUAUUCAGUUAAAUACAUGAGCUUGGACUUCCUCUUCCUCUACCCUAAGACAAACUUGUUGCUUUGAGAGCAACACUUCCUCUUCUCAUGUUUUCUUUCUCAGAAGGAUCAAUGCAAAUACAGUCAACUGCACUCAGUCUUGAAUGUACUUUCCUGACUACUGUAAUUACUUUGUUUGGGAGUUACUGUUGCAUUCUGGUUUCACGGCAGCAGGUGGCAGCUCGU